rnacentral:lncRNA from 1 species
GUAUCUUGUAAAUAUCUAUUAAUAUAAAAAUCAAUGUUGAUCUUUAGUUUACAUAUCACAAACGACUAAUUUAUAAAUGGGUUAAACAUGUUAACAAUACAAUCAUCAGUUCAUCAAUCUUUUAUAUGGUAUCAUAGCAUUUCUGAUUCAAAAACAUAUAUCGUUUCUUUUUCUAGUUUUCAAUUGAAUCAUCCUUUUCUUCAUGUCUUUCUCGUCAUCACCUCCAUCUCUUAUUCUCCUCAGUUUUCAUC